GAUGAACGCUGGCGGCGUGCUUAACACAUGCAAGUCGAACGGAAAGGCUCCUGCUUGCCGGGGUACUCGAGUGGCGAACGGGUGAGUAACACGUGGGUGAUCUGCCCUGUACUUCGGGAUAAGCUUUGGAAACUGGGUCUAAUACCGGAUAGGACAACUUUUUGGAUAUUGUUGUGGAAAGCUUUUGCGGUAUGGGAUGAGCUCGCGGCCUAUCAGCUUGUUGGUGGGGUAAUGGCCUACCAAGGCGUCGACGGGUAGCCGGCCUGAGAGGGUGUACGGCCACAUUGGGACUGAGAUACGGCCCAGACUCCUACGGGAGGCAGCAGUGGGGAAUAUUGCACAAUGGGCGCAAGCCUGAUGCAGCGACGCCGCGUGGGGGAUGAAGGCCUUCGGGUUGUAAACUCCUUUCGCUAGGGACGAAGCUUUUUUGUGACGGUACCUGGAGAAGAAGCACCGGCUAACUACGUG
rnacentral:rRNA from 1 species